CUGAGCAACACGCUAACUUUGGUCGUCUCUCUAUCGAUCCACAGCCAAUUGUCCCGACGAGCGUCGUCAUGCUGAGGAUUUCUUUCCAUGAACUUCAGCUUUACACAGCAGUUUUAAACUCUUUAUGUAUUGGCUACCCAGUGCUUCCUAGCCUGUGUAAUCCUUGCUGCUGGACCAGAAUUUCCCUAGGUCUGGUGCCGGUAACAAUUGGGGGCUCUUCCGGGAUUAUCUAGCGUCACUGCCUGGUGGAGUGGGUGCGAAGAUGACAUUAACCUGUGUCCAAAGCUUCAGGAGGAAACCUGAGCCCCCGGAGGAAACCCACGCAGACACGGGGAGAACAUGCAAACGCCACACAGAGGACGACCUGGGAUGACCCAUCAAGCUUGGACUACCCGGGGGCUCGAACCCAGGACCUUCUUGCUGUGAGGCGACCGUGCUAAGCUGAGUUUAAUGUGUACCAAAAAUAAA